rnacentral:lncRNA from 1 species
CUUCGUAGUUUAAUUGUGAAAAUUGGUUAAAGUUUGAAGCCUAGCCAAAUCUAUCCAUACGCCUAAACUAGAGUCCAUGUUGUUAAGAACUCUAAUCUAAUUGUCAUGCCACUUCUAAUCUCAAAAUUUUUUUCACGCCAUCUCCAGGUUAGCACCUCCAUUUUGGUCUGUUGGAUGGCCAAAAAGUACUGAUGAGUGGUGGAGAAAAAAUAUGCCUAAUGAAGCCUCGCGA